UACGUAGGGUCCGAGCGUUGUCCGGAAUUAUUGGGCGUAAAGGGCUCGUAGGCGGUUCGUCACGUCGGGCGUGAAAACUCGAGGCUCAACCUCGGGCUUGCAGUGGGUACGGGCAGACUAGAGUGCGGUAGGGGAGACUGGAAUUCCUGGUGUAGCGGUGGAAUGCGCAGAUAUCAGGAGGAACACCGAUGGCGAAGGCAGGUCUCUGGGCCGCAACUGACGCUGAGGAGCGAAAGCAUGGGGAGCGAACAGG
rnacentral:rRNA from 1 species